ACGCUGGUCACUGAAACGGCUACUGUUCUCGAAAUUACUUCGUACGUGAGGCUGUAGAGCACGUACCGGGAGAUACGCAGCUGCAACGUUGACGAAACAAAUUCUAACUGCUCGAGCCAAACCAGUACGAGGCACUACAAAGCAAGCAUCGCAUUGGUUGGGUGAUGCGACAGACCAGUGACAGCAAGCCAGACAAAGAGAAGCCAGGGACACCUGAGUGGAUGUAUGGAUUACUGAACCUAUUUACAACCCAGCGCAGACAGCCCCAGUCGCCAUUCACGUUCGAGAUGAUAUGACUGGGUCGGCGUGGUGGCUCAGCAUGUUCGGUCAAGGAAAUGCUCAACCUCUGAAAAGAAAAAAAGACGAAUUGAAGUGUUCAGUGGUGGAGUUUGAGAGGUGCCAAGCAACAACUGCAUAGAACUGCUGAAGAUUGAUGGUAAAGAAACAAAUAGAUAGAACAAAAAAAAAAAAAAAAAAACUUGUUAGCAUCGCUGCCUGUGGAUGAUGGGGUUCUGGGUUCGGUUACUAAUUGGGUCAGAGACUUUCCUUGCAAGGGGGUUGGGUAUUUUUGUUGCUCUAAUCAUUUCAUCUGCUUGUUAUUUACAUGCAAAUUGCCGAACUGGCAUCAUAUACAAAGAUUGCUCCAUUUGGUUGGUCUGAAGAGUAAGGUCCUGCAGUAAAGUUGGUACCUCAUGGCAGAACCACAAGCUAAGGACAGUCACUGCCAGACACCAGCCAUGAAUGGAAGAUGUCAACAAAGACCGGCCGUCAAGACGUUCCGUACACAGCUGCUGCUGGAAGUCUGAGUGCACUGCUGCUCGCCGACUCUUUGAUAGCCUGGUCUAACAGCAGCAUCAGCAUAGCUCAGAUAUAGGAGUGUUAGUGUCAUUAGUCAGAACUGUGUAUCAAAGUUAAUACUUAAAUACAAUAUGAUAUGUGACUGUCACUCAGCACUGUUCAGAGCAAUAAACAGUUAUCACUGUCUUCUGCAACAAUACU